UUAAAAGCUUUCUUUAUUUUUAAUUUCAUUCCUCUUUAAAUAUUAUGAAUAAUAAUAACGACUUAUGUUACCCCUUGUCGUAAGUACAUUUCUCGAGAAGCACGGCCAAGUCCCUGAAUUCGAUCCAAACAACCAUUCUAAUUCGUGAAAUCGUACAUUCGUUUCCUGCUUCUUACGCUUAAGAUCGUUGAUAUAAAGAAUGUCCUCCAAGAAGAAGCAUUACGCUUUUGUAUAUCAAAAUAAAAAAAAAGAACAACAUUAAACAAUCUGUAUAUCUGUUAAUUUGUUUUAAAUGUAUAACAAUGAUCUUUUAGCAAUGAUCUUAUAAUAAUAAUUUUGUAGGACAUACUCUAUAUGUAAUUGGGACUUGGCCCGUGUCUCCAUGCUUCACGCGCGAUCUCUCUCUUUUUCUUCUUCGUCCGAGAAUCGCAGUUGACCUCGAAGUCCGCCAAAUCGAAUCACAAUUUGUUCUUCUCUUUUUCUAUCUAAGUCUUAAGUUUAAUGCUCGUUUCUCCUAUCGAUUAGGAAGUAAACAGACGUGUGCGGAGCGUUCGCGAUCGUGCAAACGAAGUGGAUCAGUGUUCAUCCAUUUCACGAAUAUUGUCUUCAAUUUAUAUCUAUAAAAAAAACUUGACACUUCAACAACUAUAAUAAUAUCGAUAUAUAAAUAACUAUAAUGUGUAUAAAUUUGGAAAUUUAAAGAAAGAAAAUAUUUACAAACGUUCAACUUGCAACGAGAAUUAAAGAAGAAAUCUUUUGUCGUAGAUUAACACUGAUGCAGACGAGCACGAUCUUGGGAAAAAUAUAUAUAUACACAUAUGAAUCCUUGUGAUUUCGUGGAAAUCGAAAUUCCUCCUGGCCCUCUCUCCUUCUUUUCACGCUCUUAACAGCUAAAACACACUUUAAUGAAGACAAGUACAACACGAAGAAAAUUGGAUCAUGCAAACUCGAAAGUGAACCUGUUUCAUGGAAUAAUGUAUGAAUCUGUUGUGUGUGCUUUGUGUGCCCUUGUCCUACUCCCAAGGAAAAGUAGUUGAAAAAGCUUCAAAGGAUGGCUAGGUUCGCUGCUGAAUCGGGAAAGUAAUCUUGAAGACACGCUUUGGAAGUAUAAAACUGGAAGAGUAGAAAAACGAUACGGUGAAAUGUUAACAGCUUCAUAGGAAGAGUCGGUUGCUCAAAACUUGUCUCGUUUACAAUUAAAUUCUAAAUAAAAAGUAGUUUCAAGAGCAACCGACUCGUCGAUGCAAAUGAAAUGAGAUUGUACAAGUGAAUCAAUGUUAGUAUAACUGAUUUAACACGUUGACUGCCACAAAUUGUAAGAUUGUUAUUUUAUAUAAUUAGUAACAGAAAAGUAAACGUGUACACAACAUACUUGUAUUACAAACAGUAUGGUAUAAUAUACAAUAUAACAAAGUACAAAAAGAAUUCUGUUACAGAUUGUGACAAAAAGAACUCUGUUACAGAUUGUGACAAUGAACGUGUUCGCUACAUCCAUUCAUAAAUUCCAAUCUAAAUCAAUAAAUUAUACCCGUACAAUUUCACCGAAAGGAAUGUCUGAAGGAAUGACUGUAAGAGAAAGGCUCACCUUGUUUCAAAAUCAUCAAACUAAAAACCUAUUUCUGAUUGUCUUUCGUUCGCGACGAAAAGAAUAGUCAAACUCGAAAUCACACGACAUACAAACCAAGGAAAUCGAUCCGUAAUAUCACAAGUUUCUCUCUCGUUAAAAAGAAAAAAAAGUUGACUAGAUGACAAAAGAAUCGCCAAGCUUUCUCUUUUUUCUCUUCCAUCUUUCUUUCGUAGUGUUUUCGUGUGUAAUGUGAGUGUUUGCCUCAUGAGUUAGGCCCGCAGUCGGUGAUAAAGAAUAACGUGAAGAUAUUCGACCCUAUGAAUUCGUGUGAUACAGUAACACGCGUCAAUAUUAUUAGACAAAAUAUUGCCACGCGUUAUACAAAGUUCGUAGAAUGACAUCGUAAAUUUCACAGAGUCGAAUAUUUGUACAAAUGCAUCUCAAUGAUGUAUUUUCAACACGAUGAUAAAUACACGGAUGAGAAAGAUCGAUGACAGAUUCGAAAAAGUGGCGUUUCGUAUUAAAAAAGCGAAAAAUGGAUCGGUGAUACACCCCCUCUUAUUUUCGGCUUUCUCGGAUGAUCCGUAAAAUUGAAUUUCGCAAGUUACGCCCCUCCUCGAGCAUCUUUACAUCAAUCGUUAAUAACAGUUACUUCAUAUCGGACUACAUCUAUUUCUCUAUCUUUGAGACCCAUCGAAACGUACUGACACUUUCCUCUAAUUUUAGUUCGAAGUAAAAAUAUUUUAUAAAAAUAUUGAUUUACAUAAACAUUCAUAUUAUGAGAUAGUACGACAUAAUGUUUUGAAGACGCAGGCAAUAUAUAUAUGUAUUAAUACAUUCAUACAGUCAUCAAUAUUUAUUGGUAAUAUUUUAUAUUAGGUACUGCCAAUAUAAUAUUGUUGAUACUAAAAUGUAUCCUAUAACUAUGAAAAAAUUGUCAAAAUGUUAACAAUAUAUUGUCACAUAUAUUGUUCAUAUAAUAUAUAUAUUGAUCACCUGCUGUCUCCUUAACAAUUGCUAUACAUUUGUUAAUUUUAAAAAUCAUCAUAUACAACUAAUGUUUAAACGUAAUGUUAAAAUGUAUUCGUUCAUUAUAAAUACAACGAAGUGCAACGAACAAGUGGAACGAACAAAAGAAGAGGAAAGUGUUCCGAGUACAUUCCCCAGGGUCUCAUCACAUUUCUCAAUAGUUUAAAUGGCAACGCUGAUAACAGUCCUUGAUCUAGUUCCUGUUGAUGUAAACACGGAGUUUAAUGUCGCUUUCGCAGGUUCGUAACGUUCCGGAAAUGCAAUGAAAAAAAUACGGAAGUAACGUUCGUCUCCUGGGAACAGUUUCACAAUAGCUAGAGAAAAAAAGUCGCACAAAACGUAAUAAUAUUCACAACGAAGAAAGUCACGGGGCUGGCCCGGUUAUCUAAUCGUAGACCAAGCUUGAACCAUCGUCGCUAUUAUUGUUAUAAAAAUAUAGUGUUACAAGUCGCGGGAGAAACUUUUACUUCUUUUACUUGAGUUUUCUCCGAGUUUAUUCGGUUGUUUUUACACGAACCGUUUCUUUGGUCGAUUCUUGAAGAGAUCAAACGGUAUAAUAUACAAUUUUUGGAAAUAAACUAUGUUUCAAUGUGACGGUGGUUACUCGCUUUUUUAAUUUGAUAUGUUUCUUGUGUUUAACUCUUUCAUCACUGUGGCUAAAUGCCCAUUAUGACUGUAGUCAUUUAUCAAUCGUGGACUGUAGUCAUCUAGUUUUAAUGUAUGGUUAAAUUUUGUAAAUGACUAUAAUUCAUUACUGUACAUUAAGGCUGAUAGUCUCAUCACUCACUGCAAACCAAUAAUGAUUACAGUCAUUUAC
rnacentral:lncRNA from 1 species